AUGUGGCACAAGACCGACAAUACCUUGCUGGUGAUGGUCAACGGCCGACAGACGGGCAGCAAAAAGGUUCUGGUGCUGCACACCAACAAGAACUUUGACCAACAGAGAACCAACUGGGUGAUGCACCAGUACCACCUCGGGGACCUGGAGCAAGACAAGGAACGGGAGAUGGUCCUCUGCAAGAUUUUCUACCAGACGAACACUAGGGCCGGGACUAAAAAGAUUAUAAGUCGAGCAAGUUUCAAUUGGGCUGUAGACUGCCCAGGCUUGGUUUUGUUUUUAACAGGCUCAGCCCAUGACGACAACGGGGCACAAAGAUCCAACAGUUUUUUUACUGAAUCAAACACACAACCAGUUCUAUUUUCCUCCUAA
rnacentral:rRNA from 1 species